UAUCCCCGCCCAAAUCUCAUGUUGAAUUGUAAUCCCCAAUGCUGGAGGUAGGGCCUGGUGGGAGGUAUUCGGAUCACGGGGACAGAUCCCUCAUGAAUGGCUUGGGCCAUCCGUUUGGUGAGAAGUGAGAGAUCUGAUGGUUUAAAAGAGGGUGGCCCCUUCCCCUCACUCUCUCUCUUGCUCCUGCUUUUGCUGUUGACAUGCCUGCUCCCCCUUUGCCUUCCGCCAUGAUUGGAAGCUUCCUGAGACCUCCCCAGAAGCAAAUGCUGCUAUGCUUCCUAUAUAGCCUGCAGAACGGUAAGCCAAUAAAACCUCCUUCCAGGAUGCAGUGAGCUGAGAUCACGCCACUGCACUCCAGCCUGGGCGACAGAGUGAAACUCCGUCUCAAAAAACAAAACAAAACAAAACAAACAAACAAGCAAACAAAAAUUACCCAGUCUCAGGUAUUUCUUUUGUUGUUGUUGUUUUUGGUUGUUUGGUUGGUUUUGGAGCAUGGUCUGACGCCUGGGCUGGAGUGCAAUGGUGGAAUCAUGGUUCACUGCAAUCUCGACUUCCAGCCUCAGGUGAUCCUCUUGCCUCAGCCUCUUAAGUAGCUGAGACUACAGGUGCACACCACCAUGCCCAGCUAAUUUUUAUUUUUCUUGUAGAGACAGGGUUUACCAUGUUGCCCAGGCUGGUCUUGAGAACUCCUGGGCUCAAGUGGUCCACCUGCCUUGGCUUCCCAAAGUGCUGGGAUUACAGGCAUGAGCCAUCGUGUCUGGCCCAAUCUCUGUGUCAUCAUUGUCAUAUGGUGUUCUUUCUGUGUGUCUCUGUCUAGACAUGGCCAUCUUCUUACAAGGACAUUAGUCUUAUUGGAUUAGGAGCCCACUCUGCGUCAGUAGAACGGCCUAACACACAUGCUUAACCUACUAAUAAUGACAAAAACACCUACCUCUAUCUACAGUCAUGUGAUUUACCUGUUUGCCUGUUUAUUCCCUGCCCCCACCCCCACCCUGCCAGAACAGCUGUAGGAGAUGGGAGACUGUUCCUGUGGCUCUUGCCAUCUCCUCUGCACCUAACCCGGUGGCGAGCACAGAGAGGGGCUCUGAAAUUAUUUCCUGAAUGAAUGGGUAAAUGAAUGAAUGACGAAGUAAAUACAUGAUAAUAGCAAUCCUUGAUGAGUGCCUGCCUGAUGCAAGCACUGUAAAUAAUUUUCUUUUUUCUCUUUUUUUUUUUUUUUUUGAGACAAAGUCUCACUCUGUUGGCCAGGCUGGAGUGCAAUGGUGCAAUCUCAGCUCACUGCAACCUCCACCUCACAGGUUCAAGCAAUUCUUGUGCCUCAGCCUCCUGAGUAGCUGGAAUUACAGGCAUGCACCACCACACCCCGCUAAUUUUUGUACUUUUUGUAGAGACAGGGUUUCACCGUGUUGGCCAGGCUGGUCUCAAACUCCUGACCUCAAGCGAUCCAGCCACCUCGGCCUCCCAAAGUGCUGGGAUGACAGGCGUGAGCCACCACGUCCAGCCUGUACAUGAUUUCCUGUCCUCCUUCAGCCUUGCCUCCAGGGAGGGAUGGUUUCCUGGUUUUCCAGAGGUUAGAAAACUUGCUUGAAGUUCCAGAAUCACUAAGGGCAGAAUCCCAUUUCAAACUCAGCCCUUCUGAACUCCUGGGCUCAAGCCAUCCUCCCACCACACCUGGCUUAUUUUAAAAUGUUUUGUAGAGACUGGGUCUUGCUACAUUGCCCGGGCUAGUCUCGAACUCCUGACCUGAAGCGAUCCUCCCACCUAAGCCUUCUAAAGCUCUGGGAUGACAGGCGUGAGCCACAGCACACGACCUUUUUUUUUUUUUAUUUUUGUAUCAAGCUCUUUACUCCCGAGCGCACUCUUAGCCACUCUUAGCCUGCAGGGAAUCCACCCACGCUUUUUCCUUUCUUGAGAUAAGACAAGAGUGUUUUCCCAAAGGGCCUUGAGCACCAGAGAGCAGAACUCCAAGCUGCUGUGCUGGGCGUGGACCAGGCCCCGCAUGGAGCCCACACAGAGCCUCUGACUUAGGCUGGGGGUUCUCAUCCCAUUUCCGUGGCCUGGGAACUCAGGGGGAAAGAGCAAUUAAAUUAGAGGGGUCAAAGAAGGAGGAGGAGGGUGGGGAGCUGGUGGCCAGACCCAGAAAGGCCAGAUUUCAAUUUGCAUAAUAAUUUUGUUAGCAACAAUGGUCAUCCAGGACAUCUCUUUAAAGGCUGUAAUGUUAAUUUAAUGGGAAAAAAGCUAAUACAAUUCCCCCAGAAUUUUUCAAUUAAAUUAAUGUGAUGGGCUUUAAUGGAUAGCUUAAGUAGAGAGUGUGAAUAGGAGAAAUAUUGCAUAAAUUAUCCAUACAUUUAUAUAUGUGCUGCCCGUAUAUAUAAUCUCUCCGCUCUAAGGUUUUGACAUGUGAGAGGUCUUAUGCUUAAAUCUGGCAACAAGUUAUAACUCUAUUUCAAUUAAAGUGACCCUUUUAUCAUUCAAAGAAGGGGGGGAUGCUCCUUCCCAUGGAGCUUCCACACAGCCCUUCCCUUCAACAACACACCAGAAGAUUCCAGUCUUAAAGAAACAGAAGGCUCGUGUAACAAUAACCCAUGAGAACACACAUGUGCACAUAAAGUCGAUGACAUGAGAAAUCUGUAGAUGCAGAAUCUCGUUCCCUGCUCUCUGCUCCCCAAAGACACCUGAUGGAGCAGAAAAUAAAAUGGGUUAAAUUUC
rnacentral:lncRNA from 1 species